GCGCCAGAAACGUUUCAGAGGUGCAAUCAAUGAUGGUUGACGACGAUAAUAAAACUUUUGUGUGUGUGUGUGUGUGAACCUUGUUAGAGAGACACGUUGAAAAAGAAAAAAAAAAAAUUUUUUUUAAUCGAUUGAAAUAACAAUGGCGAUAGACUGACUUGGUGAAGUUUAUAUUUUCCUGGAAUGAAGGAUUCAAAUUGGCCAACUUUUCCUUUGUUGCAGCCACCAGAAUCACGUGGGUUGUGUGAAAAAUUUUCCUGCAGUACUCCACUCUGUUGCUGUGGAUUAAUGGCGUUGGAACUUCGAGAUCAUGUCUGAAUCGCAAGUAUUUGAACAGCUAAACGCCAUCUAUAGGUCGUCGUAGAAACAAGGGUCUGCAAACUACGUUCCCGCUUGAAUUCGAAUUCAAAAACUCGUCUUUGUGUCUAGAAUCCGACUAUUCGUACCGAUCCAAAGUAAAGAUCACAACAGAAAUGUCAAUUACGCUAACCUACCAAACAAAAUUAAGUAAAAUUUUACCUAAAUUAAAAGACAAGAUUUGUAU